rnacentral:sRNA from 1 species
GCUGGGCGUAGUGGCACACACCUGUAAUCCCAGCAGCUCAGGAGGUUGAGGCAGGAGGAUCAUGAAUUCAAACCAGCCUCAGCAAAAGCAAGGCCCUAGGCAACUCAGUGAGACCCUGUCUCUA